rnacentral:sRNA from 1 species
AGGCGGGAAAUGGCGACUGGCUGAAGGAGCUGGUUCUGUUGCUGCUGCGGGGUAAGCGGGAAAGACACCACACAUUGCGCAGUCGGGACCAUCGCCGGAGCCUGAGGACACUUCUCUGUCGUCACAGUUAGUUUUACAUGUGGCACCCAUAAAAGAUGAGGCUGAGAACACGGAAAGCUUCUCAGCAGUCAAAUCAAAUCCAAACACAACGCACUGCCAGAGCAAAGAGGAAAUAUUCAGAGGUUGAUGAUAGCCUGCCUUCAGGAGGAGAAAAACCAUCGAAGAAUGAAACCGGCUUGUUGUCUUCAAUUAAAAAAUUUAUUAAAGGAAGCACACCUAAGACAGAGUCUCGCUCUGUCACCCUGGCUGGAGUGCAGCUGCGCAAUCUUGGCUCACUGCAACCUCCACCUCCUGGAUUCGAGCAGUUCUCCUACCUCAGCCUCCCGAGAAGAGAGAGAAAAUCCUUCAAAACGGAGUAGAAUUGAACGUGAUAUAGAUAACAAUUUGAUCACGUCAACACCAAGAGCAGGAGAAAAACCUAACAAACAGAUAUCUCGAGUAAGACGGAAAA